CAGUAAAAAAGCAAAAGACAAUGUUUAUCAAUUCAGUAAAUACAUAUUGGUGGUGGCGCUCUCAACUUCAAAAGUCGUGAGUCAAAAUUGGUAUGUAUAAUAUUCUGAAAUGAUUGAAUAUAAAAAACAAAAAGCCUGUC
rfam:Bacteroidales bacterium 45-6 scnpilot_expt_750_p_scaffold_7242, whole genome shotgun sequence.